UUGAAAGGGAAACGAUUGAAGUCAGUCGUGCUGGCGCGAAAUCAACCUUCUCGUCUUGAGAUCACAUGGCGUGGCGAGCCUCAAAACCGUCACGAAGCGUGAACUCUUGGUGAAAUGGAGCACUUUCGUGUCCGCUGGUUAACAUCAAUUUCGAACGUCAUAAAAAGGCUGGAGGGAUGUGGCUCCUUCGGGAGUGUUAUAACCUUUAGCGGAAUGUGGUGUUCGGGAUUGAGGAUUGCAACGAAUACCUUUAGGGCUGUUCCACCUGGCUUCUCUUUGGUAUCCUGGUGACGACAGCUUGCGGACGUCGUUAGGAUUCGCCUUUGAACAGGCUAGAGUGUGAGCAAAUCGUUAAGGAUGUUGACGUA
rnacentral:rRNA from 1 species